rnacentral:rRNA from 1 species
GCAAGUCGAGCGCGGGAAGCGAGUGGAUCCCUUCGGGGUGAAGCUCGUGGAACGAGCGGCGGACGGGUGAGUAACACGUGGGCAACCUGCCUGUAAGAUCGGAAUAACCCCGGGAAACCGGGGCUAAUGCCGGGUAAUACUUUCUUUCGCAUGAAGGAAAGUUGAAAGAUGGCUUCUCGCUAUCACUUACAGAUGGGCCCGCGGCGCAUUAGCUAGUUGGUGAGGUAACGGCUCACCAAGGCGACGAUGCGUAGCCGACCUGAGAGGGUGAUCGGCCACACUGGGACUGAGACACGGCCCAGACUCCUACGGGAGGCAGCAGUAGGGAAUCUUCCGCAAUGGACGAAAGUCUGACGGAGCAACGCCGCGUGAACGAUGAAGGUCUUCGGAUCGUAAAGUUCUGUUGUUAGGGAAGAACAAGUACCGUGCGAAUAGAGCGGUACCUUGACGGUACCUAACGAGGAAGCCCCGGCUAACUACGUGCCAGCAGCCGCGGUAAUACGUAGGGGGCAAGCGUUGUCCGGAAUUAUUGGGCGUAAAGCGCGCGCAGGCGGUUCCUUAAGUCUGAUGUGAAAGCCCACGGCUCAACCGUGGAGGGUCAUUGGAAACUGGGGAACUUGAGGACAGAAGAGGAGAGUGGAAUUCCACGUGUAGCGGUGAAAUGCGUAGAUAUGUGGAGGAACACCAGUGGCGAAGGCGACUCUCUGGUCUGUUUCUGACGCUGAGGUGCGAAAGCGUGGGUAGCAAACAGGAUUAGAUACCCUGGUAGUCCACGCCGUAAACGAUGAGUGCUAGGUGUU